GGGGAAUAUUGCGCAAUGGGGGAAACCCUGACGCAGCAACGCCGCGUGAGUGAAGAAGGCCUUAGGGUUGUAAAGCUCUGUCAUAUGGGAAGAUAAUGACGGUACCAUAAGAGGAAGCCACGGCUAACUACGUGCCAGCAGCCGCGGUAAUACGUAGGUGGCGAGCGUUGUCCGGAUUUACUGGGCGUAAAGGAUGCGUAGGCGGAUAUUUAAGUGGGAUGUGAAAUCCCCGAGCUUAACUCGGGGGCUGCAUUCCAAACUGGAUAUCUAGAGUGUCGGAGGGGAAAGUGGAAUUCCUAGUGUAGCGGUGAAAUGCGUAGAGAUUAGGAAGAACACCAGUGGCGAAGGCGACUUUCUGGACGAUAACUGACGCUGAGGCAUGAAAGCGUGGGGAGCAAAC
rnacentral:rRNA from 1 species